rnacentral:rRNA from 1 species
GAUGAACGCUGGCGGCGUGCCUAAUACAUGCAAGUCGAGCGAACAGACGAGGUGCUUGUUCCUCUGACGUUAGCGGCGAACGGGUGAGUAACCCGUGGGUAACCUCCCUUUAAGCGGGGGACAACAUGGGGAAACGGAUGCUAAUACCGCAUAAAAACUUUAAACACAGGUUUUAAGGUUGAAAGAUGCUUUUGCGUCACUUAAAGAUGGUUCCGCGCCGUAUUAGCUAGUUGGGAAGGUAAAGGCUUACCAAGGGAAAGAUACGUAGCCGACCGGGGAGGGUGAUCGGCAAAACUGGAACGAGAACACGGUCCAAACUCCUACGGAGGGCGGAGGAGGGGAAUCUUCCGCAAUGAGCGAAGGCCUGACGGAGCAACCCGGCGUGGGUGAUGAAGGUCUUCGAAUCGUAAAACUCUGUUAUUGGGAAAGAACAAAUGGGUAAGUAACUAUGCACGUCUUGACGGUACCUAAUCAGAAAGCCACGGCUAACUACGUG